rnacentral:rRNA from 1 species
CAUGCAAGUCGAGGGGAAACGACAUCGAAAGCUUGCUUUUGAUGGGCGUCGACCGGCGCACGGGUGAGUAACGCGUAUCCAACCUGCCCACCACUUGGGGAUAACCUUGCGAAAGUAAGACUAAUACCCAAUGACGUCUCCAGAAGACAUCUGAAGGAGAUUAAAGAUUUAUCGGUGAUGGAUGGGGAUGCGUCUGAUUAGCUUGUUGGCGGGGUAACGGCCCACCAAGGCGACGAUCAGUAGGGGUUCUGAGAGGAAGGUCCCCCACAUUGGAACUGAGACACGGUCCAAACUCCUACGGGAGGCAGCAGUGAGGAAUAUUGGUCAAUGGACGAGAGUCUGAACCAGCCAAGUAGCGUGCAGGAUGACGGCCCUAUGGGUUGUAAACUGCUUUUAUAAGGGAAUAAAGUGAGAGUCGUGACUCUUUUUGCAUGUACCUUAUGAAUAAGGACCGGCUAAUUCCGUGCCAGCAGCCGCGGUAAUACGGAAGGUCCGGGCGUUAUCCGGAUUUAUUGGGUUUAAAGGGAGCGUAGGCCGGAGAUUAAGCGUGUUGUGAAAUGUAGAUGCUCAACAUCUGAACUGCAGCGCGAACUGGUUUCCUUGAGUACGCACAAAGUGGGCGGAAUUCGUGGUGUAGCGGUGAAAUGCUUAGAUAUCACGAAGAACUCCGAUUGCGAAGGCAGCUCACUGGAGCGCAACUGACGCUGAAGCUCGAAAGUGCGGGUAUCGAACAGGAUUAGAUACCCUGGUAGUCCGCACGGUAAACGAUGGAUGCCCGCUGUUGGUCUGAAUAGGUCAGCGGCCAAGCGAAAGCAUUAAGCAUCCCACCUGGGGAGUACGCCGGCAACGGUGAAACUCAAGGAAUUGAC